rnacentral:rRNA from 1 species
UACCAGCACCCCGAGUGGUCGGGACGAUUAUUGGGCUUAAAGCAUCCGUAGCCGGUCUUGCAAGUCUUCCGUUAAAUCCAGCUGCUUAACGGAUGGGCUGCGGAAGAUACUACAAGACUAGGAGGCGGAAGAGGCAAGCGGUACUCAGUGGGUAGGGGUAAAAUCCUCUGAUCCAUUGAAGACCACCAGUGGCGAAGGCGGCUUGCCAGAACGCGCUCGACGGUGAGGGAUGAAAGCUGGGGGAGCAAACCGG